rnacentral:rRNA from 1 species
GGGUAAUGACCCCAAACCUACAUGGCCCCUGGAUUGGACUGCGGCCGAUCAGGCUGUUGGUGAGGUAAUGGCCCACCAAACCUGUAACCGGUACGGGCUCUGAGAGGAGGAGCCCGGAGAUGGGCCCUGAGACAAGGGCCCAGGCCCUAUGGGGCGCAGCAGGCGCGAAACCUCUGCAAUAGGCGAAAGCUUGACAGGGUUACUCUGAGUGAUUUCCGUUAAGGAGAUCUUUUGGCACCUCUAAAAUGGUGCAGAAUAAGGGGUGGGCAAGUCUGGUGUCAGCCGCAGCGGUAAUACCAGCACCCCGAGUGGUCGGGACGUUUAUUGGGCCUAAAGCAUCCGUAGCCGGUUCUACAAGUCUUCCGUUAAAUCCACCUGCCUAACAGAUGGGCUGCGGAAGAUACUAUGGAGCUAGGAGGCGGGAGAGGCAAGCGGUACUCGAUGGGUAGGGGUAAAAUCCGUUGAUCCAUUGAAGACCACCAGUGGCGAAGGCGGCUUGCCAGAACGCGCUCGGCGGUGAGGGAUGAAAGCUGGUGGAGCAAACCGGAUUAGAUACCCGGGUAGUCCCAGCUGUAAACGAUGCAGACUCGGUG